rnacentral:rRNA from 1 species
GAUGAACGCUGGCGGCGUGCUUAACACAUGCAAGUCGAACGAAGCACUUUAUUUGAUUUCCUUCGGGACUGAUUAUUUUGUGACUGAGUGGCGGACGGGUGAGUAACGCGUGGGUAACCUGCCUUGUACAGGGGGAUAACAGUUGGAAACGGCUGCUAAUACCGCAUAAGCGCCCAGCAUCGCAUGAUGCAGUGUGAAAAACUCCGGUGGUAUAAGAUGGACCCGCGUUGGAUUAGCUAGUUGGUGAGGUAACGGCCCACCAAGGCGACGAUCCAUAGCCGAGCUGAGAGGGUGACCGGCCACAGUGGGACUGAGACACGGCCCAAACUCCUACGGGAGGCAGCAGUGGGGAAUAUUGCACAAUGGGCGAAAGCCUGAUGCAGCGACGCCGCGUGAGCGAAGAAGUAUUUCGGUAUGUAAAGCUCUAUCAGCAGGGAAGAUAAUGACGGUACCUGACUAAGAAGCACCGGCUAAAUACGUG